UCUCCGUAGGUGAACCAGCGGAGGGAUCAUUACAAAGUAUUCAAAACUACCAACCCUUGCGAACCGUACCCAUUCUGGUCUCGUUGCUUCCGGCGGGGGGGACGGGGGGCCCGAAACGGCCUCAAUGCCCCCCCCGACGGGGGCGGUGGGCCUUAUGAACCUCUAUAUUCCAAUCAGCAGAAUCGGUCUUGGCAAAAACACCAAAUUAUCAAAACGUUCAACAACGGAGCAUUUGGUCCUUGCAUCGCUGAAGAACGAAACCAAUCGGCAAAUGACACG
rnacentral:misc_RNA from 1 species